rnacentral:rRNA from 1 species
GAUGAACGCUGGCGGCGUGCCUAAUACAUGCAAGUCGAGCGAACAGACGAGGAGCUUGCUCCUCUGACGUUAGCGGCGGACGGGGGAGUAACACGUGGAUAACCUACCUAUAAGACUGGGAUAACUUCGGGAAACCGGAGCUAAUACCGGAUAAUAUAUUGAAUCGCAUGGUUCAAUAGUGAAAGACGGUUUUGAUGUCACUUAUAGAUGGAUCCGCGCCGCAUUAGCUAGUUGGUAAGGUAACGGCUUACCAAGGCAACGAUGCGUAGCCGACCUGAGAGGGUGAUCGGCCACACUGGAGCUGGGACACGGUCCAGACUCCUACGAGAGGCAGCAGUAGGGAAUCUUCCGCAAUGGGCGAAAGCCUGACGGAGCAACGCCGCGUGAGUGAUGAAGGUCUUCGGAUCGUAAAACUCUGUUAUUAGGGAAGAACAAAUGUGUAAGUAACUAUGCACGUCUUGACGGUACCUAAUCAGAAAGCCACGGCUAACUACGUG